AUAGAGCUGACGUAUCUCGCUUGCAUUCAGCCGUACUUUUUGGCGGCUUUGGCUAGGCGCCCCUUUGGGGUGUUUGGUUGAGGUUCUGCUGACUAGUGUGGUGUUUUUGCAAGUGAAGCGCACCGGGUACUAUUCUUUAGCGGUAAUAAGCUGACAUUGAGGGCUCAAUCUCGGUUGGGUGUCCCAUGUUAGUGGAAGACUGAUUAGGGAAUAACUCUAACGGAGUGGAUAACCGGCCGUUUAGUUGUUUGGGGUGUCUUUAGUUGUUCCGCUUGCGGCCCUUCUCUAGGCUAACCUUGCUUCUAAUAGUGUCCCCUCUCCUGCAGAUUCGGUGUAAAAGUCGGUCAUCUAUCCGACCCGUCUUGAAACACGGACCAAGGAGUUUAUCAAAUACGCGAGUCAUUGAGUAGUAAACUCAAAGGCGUAAUGAAAGUAAAGGUGCCCUUGAUGGGCUGAUAUGCGAUCCGCAGCGUCUCGGCGUUGUGGAGCAGCAUAGCCCCAUUCUGAUUGCUUGCAAUAGGGUGGAGGUAGAGCGUAUUUGAUGAGACCCGAAAGAUGGUGAACUAUGCCUGAGCAGGAUGAAGCCAGAGGAAACUCUGGUGGAAGUCCGAAGCGGUUCUGACGUGCAAAUCGAUCGUCUGACUUGGGUAUAGGGGCGAAAGACUAAUCGAACCAUCUAGUAGCUG
rnacentral:rRNA from 1 species